rnacentral:rRNA from 1 species
GGACGGGCCGCACAGCGGUGGAGUAUGUGGUUUAAUUCGAUGCAACGCGAAGAACCUUACCUGGUCUUGACAUCCCGGAGACCCUUAGGAAACUAGGGGUGCUUCCAUCUGGAAGAAUCUGGAGACAGGUGCUGCAUGGCUGUCGUCAGCUCGUGUCGUGAGAUGUUGGGUUAAGUCCCGCAACGAGCGCAACCCUUGCCUUUAGUUGCCAGCAGCUCGGCUGGGCACUCUAAAGGGACUGCCGGUGUUAAACCGGAGGAAGGUGGGGAUGACGUCAAGUCCUCAUGGCCUUUAUGACCAGGGCUACACACGUACUACAAUGGCCGAUACAAAGGGCAGCGACACUGCGAGGUGAAGCCAAUCCCGUAAAAUCGGUCUCAGUCCGGAUUGGAGUCUGCAACUCGACUCCAUGAAGUUGGAAUCGCUAGUAAUCGUGGAUCAGCAUGCCACGGUGAAUACGUUCCCGGGCCUU